rnacentral:lncRNA from 1 species
UCCGGUGUACGAUGGCGCCUGAUGCGAUGUAUGCGUCCGGAAGCCCUUUCAGCCUCCAGGCAUGUCCCCACCUGCCUCACAGCCACCGACGCAUCUCACGGCGGGGUUCCAAUUGCGUGCGCGUAUGGAUGCUCCUUUCGCCGCCGCCUUUCUGGCAACUAGUUGAUGUUAUGAUGCAUCGUUGGUCCGGUGUACGACGGCGCCUGGUGCGAUUUAUGCGUCCGGAAGCCCUUUCAGCCUCCAGGCAUGUCCCCACCUGCCUCACAGCCACCGACGCAUCUCACGGCGGGGUUCCAAUUGCGUGCGCGUAUGGAUGCUCCUUUCGCCGCCUUUCUGGCAACUAGUUGAUGUUAUGAUGCAUCGUUGGUCCGGUGUACGACGGCACCUGAUGCGAUUUAUGCGUCCGGAAGCCCUUUCAGCCUCCAGGCAUGUCCCCACCUGCCUCACAGCCACCGACGCAUCUCACGGCGGGGUUCCAAUUGCGUGCGCGUAUGGAUGCUCCUUUCGCCGCCGCCUUUCUAGCAACUAGUUGAUGUUAUGAUGCAUCGUUGGUCCGGUGUACGACGGCGCCUGGUGCGAUUUAUGCGUCCGGAAGCCCUUUCAGCCUCCAGGCAUGUCCCCACCUGCCUCACAGCCACCGACGCAUCUCACGGCGGGGGUCUAAUUGCGUGCGCGUAUGGAUGCUCCUUUCGCCGCCUUUCUAGCAACUAGUUGAUGUUAUGAUGCAUCGUUGGUCCGGUGUACGACGGCGCCUGAUGCGAUUUAUGCGUCCGGAAGCCCUUUCAGCCUCCAGGCAUGUCCCCACCUGCCUCACAGCCACCGACGCAUCUCACGGCGGGGUUCCAAUUGCGUGCGCGUAUGGAUGCUCCUUUCGCCGCCGCCUUUCCAGCAACUAGUUGAUGUUAUGAUGCAUCGUUGGUCCGGUGUACGACGGCGCCUGGUGCGAUUUAUGCGUCCGGAAGCCCUUUCAGCCUCCAGGCAUGUCCCCACCUGCCUCAUAGCCACCGACGCAUCUCACGGCGGGGUUCCAAUUGCGUGCGCGUAUGGAUGCUCCUAUUCGCCGCCGCCUUUCUAGCAACUAGUUGAUGUUAUGAUGCAUCGUUGGUCCGGUGUACGACGGCGCCUGAUGCGAUUUAUGCGUCCGGAAGCCCUUUCAGCCUCCAGGCAUGUCCCCACCUGCCUCACAGCGACCGAGGCAUCUCACGGCGGGGGUCUAAUUGCGUGCGCGUAUGGAUGCUCCUUUCCCCGCCGCCUUUCUAGCAACUAGUUGAUGUUAUGAUGCAUCGUUGGUCCGGCGUAUGACGGCGCCUGGUGCGAUUUAGGCGUCCGGAAGCCCUUUCAGCCUCCAGGCAUGUCCCCACCUGCCUCACAGCCACCGACGCAUCUCACGGCGGGGGUCUAAUUGCGUGCGCGUAUGGAUGCUCCUUUCCCCGCCGCCUUUCUAGCAACUAGUUGAUGUUAUGAUGCAUCGUUGGUCCGGCGUACGACGGCGCCUGAUGCGAUUUAUGCGUCCGGAAGCCCUUUCAGCCUCCAGGCAUGACCCCACCUGCCUCACAGCUACCGAGGCAUCUCACGGCGGGGGUCCAAUUGCGUGCGCGUAUGGAUGCUCCUUUCCCCGCCGCCUUUCUAGCAACUAGUUGAUGUUAUGAUGCAUCGUUGGUCCAGUGUACGACGGCGCCUGAUGCGAUUUAUGCGUCCGGAAGCCCUUUCAGCCUCCAGGCAUGUCCCCACCUGCCUCACAGCCACCGACGCAUCUCACGGCGGGGUUCCAAUUGUGUGCGCGUAUGGAUGCUCCUUUCCCCGCCGCCUUUCUAGCAACUAGUUGAUGUUAUGAUGCAUCGUUGGUCCGGUGUACGACGGCGCCUGAUGCGAUUUAUGCGUCCGGAAGCCCUUUCAGCCUCCAGGCACGUCCCCACCUGCCUCACAGCCACCGACGCAUCUCACGGCGGGGUUCCAAUUGUGUGCGCAUAUGGAUGCUCCUUUCCCCGCCGCCUUUCUAGCAACUAGUUGAUGUGAUGAUGCAUCGUCGGUCCGGUGUACGAUGGCGCCUGAUGCGAUUUAUGCGUCCGGAAGCCCUUUCAGCCUCCAGGCAUGUCCCCACCUGCCUCACAGCUACCGAGGCAUCUCACGGCGGGGUUCCAAUUGUGUGCGCGUAUGGAUGCUCCUUUCCCCGCCGCCUUUCUAGCAACUAGUUGAUGUUAUGAUGCAUCGUUGGUCCGGUGUACGAUGGCGCCUGAUGCGAUUUAUGCGUCCGGAAGCCCUUUCAGCCUCCAGGCACGUCCCCACCUGCCUCACAGCCACCGACGCAUCUCACGGCGGGGGUCUAAUUGCGUGCGCGUAUGGAUGCUCCUUUCCCCGCCGCCUUUCUAGCAACUAGUUGAUGUUAUGAUGCAUCGUUGUUCCAGUGUACGACGGCGCCUGAUGCGAUUUAUGCGUCCGGAAGCCCUUUCAGCCUCCAGGCAUGUCCCCACCUGCCUCACAGCCACCGACGCAUCUCACGGCGGGGUUCAUAUUGCGUGCGCGUAUGGAUGCUCCUUUCGCCGCCUUUCCAGCAACUAGUUGAUGUUAUGAUGCAUCGUUGGUCCGGCGUACGACGGCGCCUGAUGCGAUUUAUGCGUCCGGAAGCCCUUUCAGCCUCCANNNNNNNNNNNNNNNNNNNNNNNNNNNNNNNNNNNNNNNNNNNNNNNNNNCUUUCCCCGCCGCCUUUCUAGCAACUAGUUGAUGUUAUGAUGCAUCGUUGGUCCGGUGUACGACGGCGCCUGAUGCGAUUUAUGCGUCCGGAAGCCCUUUCAGCCUCCAGGCAUGACCCCACCUGCCUCACAGCUACCGAGGCAUCUCACGGCGGGGUUCCAAUUGCGUGCGCGUAUGGAUGCUCCUUUCCCCGCCGCCUUUCUAGCAACUAGUUGAUGUUAUGAUGCAUCGUUGGUCCAGUGUACGACGGCGCCUGAUGCGAUUUAUGCGUCCGGAAGCCCUUUCAGCCUCCAGGCAUGUCCCCACCUGCCUCACAGCCACCGACGCAUCUCACGGCGGGGUUCCAAUUGUGUGCGCGUAUGGAUGCUCCUUUCCCCGCCGCCUUUCUAGCAACUAGUUGAUGUUAUGAUGCAUCGUUGGUCCGGUGUACGACGGCGCCUGAUGCGAUUUAUGCGUCCGGAAGCCCUUUCAGCCUCCAGGCACGUCCCCACCUGCCUCACAGCCACCGACGCAUCUCACGGCGGGGUUCCAAUUGUGUGCGCAUAUGGAUGCUCCUUUCCCCGCCGCCUUUCUAGCAACUAGUUGAUGUGAUGAUGCAUCGUCGGUCCGGUGUACGAUGGCGCCUGAUGCGAUUUAUGCGUCCGGAAGCCCUUUCAGCCUCCAGGCAUGUCCCCACCUGCCUCACAGCUACCGAGGCAUCUCACGGCGGGGUUCCAAUUGUGUGCGCGUAUGGAUGCUCCUUUCCCCGCCGCCUUUCUAGCAACUAGUUGAUGUUAUGAUGCAUCGUUGGUCCGGUGUACGAUGGCGCCUGAUGCGAUUUAUGCGUCCGGAAGCCCUUUCAGCCUCCAGGCACGUCCCCACCUGCCUCACAGCCACCGACGCAUCUCACGGCGGGGGUCUAAUUGCGUGCGCGUAUGGAUGCUCCUUUCCCCGCCGCCUUUCUAGCAACUAGUUGAUGUUAUGAUGCAUCGUUGGUCCGGCGUACGACGGCGCCUGAUGCGAUUUAUGCGUCCGGAAGCCCUUUCAGCCUCCAGGCAUGUCCCCACCUGCCUCACAGCCACCGAGGCAUCUCACGGCGGGGUUCCAAUUGUGUGCGCGUAUGGAUGCUCCUUUCCGCCGCCUUUCUAGCAACUAGUUGAUGUUAUGAUGCAUCGUUGGUCCGGCGUACGACGGCGCCUGAUGCGAUUUAUGCGUCCGGAAGCCCUUUCAGCCUCCAGGCAUGUCCCCACCUGCCUCACAGCCACCGACGCAUCUCACGGCGGGGUUCUAAUUGCGUGCGCGUAUGGAUGCUCCUUUCCCCGCCGCCUUUCUAGCAACUAGUUGAUGUUAUGAUGCAUCGUUG